rnacentral:rRNA from 1 species
GCAAGUCGAGGGGUAACAGGGAUUGCUUGCAAUCCGCUGACGACCGGCGAACGGGUGCGUAACGCGUAUGCAACCUACCUUUUACUGGGGGAUAGUCAAGAGAAAGAUUGAAUAAUACCCCAUACGAUCUGAAUCAAACCUGUGGAACAGAAGAAAACUGCGGUGGUAAAAGAUGGGCAUGCGUCCUAUUAGUUAGUUGGUGAGGUAACGGCUCACCAAGACUACGAUAGGUAGGGGUCCUGAGAGGGAGAGC